rnacentral:lncRNA from 1 species
CCCCAACUUAUGAUUAUAUUGAUUAUAUUGUUUGUGAGGGAACACUUCAGGAAGGACAGCAAUGCCAAAGAGCUACUGAAGAGAGUGAAGGUGAGCCUUGUUUUAAAUUUAAAAUACUUCAUACAAUCAUUUGGGUGUUAUACAUGCACAGACUAAACUUGAUUUUGCUUUGCAGGCUUACAGAGUCACCAAGUAAUUUGCUGAUUAAAAGACUUCAGGCUAAUUCUAUCUUUUGCCAAGCAGCCAUAUAGUUUUCGUGUUAUGGAGUGAUGCACUUUUGNACGUGUAACAUGUGGCAGAGUCGUUCUCUUUAGAAUGAGUAACGUUAUUUUUGUUCGUGUAUUUCAUUUACUUGAAAUAUAGAUAUAAUGUGUUAAUUUAAUAUUUGUGCUUUCUUAUGCAAGGCAUGUCGUAAGUUUUAAUUAAUGAUGGAAGAACNAACACGGCAUAAACUAUGAAAGAAAGAAGUCACAUGAUGCGAUAGAGAAACAAACAAGGAGAUGAAAAAUGAAGAAAAAGAGGGAGGAUCGUAUAGAGUGACGCCUGGUGAUUGACA